rnacentral:rRNA from 1 species
UACGUAGGGGGCUAGCGUUGUCCGGAUUUAUUGGGCGUAAAGAGCGUGUAGGCGGCCAGGUAGGUCUGCUGUGAAAACUCGAGGCUCAACCUCGAGACGUCGGCGGAAACCAUCUGGCUAGAGUCCGGAAGAGGAGAGUGGAAUUCCUGGUGUAGCGGUGAAAUGCGCAGAUAUCAGGAAGAACACCCGUGGCGAAGGCGGCUCUUUGGGACGGUACUGACGCUGAGACGCGAAAGCGUGGGGAGCGAACAGG